CCUAUCAAGUGAUGCCCCCCCUCUCUCUCCCUCUCUCUCUCUCUCUCCUCUGUUCAUCCACCACACUCUCUUCCCUCUGCCGCGUUGUCGUCGUUGUCUUUCCUUAUAAUAUCUAUCCGACCCUAUAAUCCCUACAGAAAACCCAUUUAUCUCUGCAAUUUUCUUCGUUAUUGGUCCAUUAUUUUUCGUAAAAGGCUACUUCGAACAGACCGCUGUUUUUGGGGGGUUUCCAGGAUUUGAAGGGCUAAGAGAGAGUUUCAAUGCAUUGAUAUGAAGUCUGAAGAUUAUUAUUCUGCCUCCAGUGAUUCCAUCUUACUUCUCUCAAAUCUGGUGUACUACAGUUUGUUCAGAUUCCAAUUGAUUCACAAGGUUGGAAUUAGGAAUGACGUGAUGUAACUUAUAGCAAUAUGCUGGACUAUUAUGCAACCAACCCUGGUCCGGUUGAUGAUUCUGUUUUAUAUGAUCAAGACAAGCAUGUUUCAGCUGCAGUUUGGGAGGGGCAGGAGAGAGGCGCACUUAGAUGUCACGAACACACUUCAAAGCUUGACCGUUGGUUGCUUACUGAGAAACAGAUUGAACUCGUGAAAAGGGCUGGUUUUGGCUAUUUGAGAUUGAUUCCAGCAAUUAGUCUCGAUAACCCUCUUAUAUCUGCACUAGUUGAGAGAUGGAGGAAAGAAACAAACACAUUCCAUAUGACUGUUGGAGAAAUGUCAGUAACACUGGAAGAUGUAGCUUACUUGCUUGGACUUCGAAUUGAUGGUGAACCUGUUAUAGGUGUAACAUAUACCACAUGUGAUUCAGUAUGUGUUAAAUAUCUUGGAAAAGCACCGGAUUCUGGGUAUACGAGUGGUGGGAUGGUGAAGCUGAGUUGGCUAAAAGAGACUUUCUCUGAAUGUCGUGAAGAUGCCUCCAUCGAAGAUGUUGAGCGCUAUACACGUGCAUAUCUUCUUUAUCUUGUUGGUAGUACAAUUUUUUCCACCACCACCGGUAACAAAGUACCUGUUAUGUACCUACCAUUGUUUGAGAAUUUUGAUAAUGCUGGGAAGUAUGCAUGGGGAGCAGCAGCAUUAGCCUUCUUAUAUCGGGCACUUGGUAAUGCCUCUCUUAGGUCGCAAAGCACUAUUAGUGGCUGUUUGACACUGCUACAGUGCUGGAGUUACUAUCACCUUAAUGUUGGCCGACCUAAACUUCAUCACGACCCAAUCCAUGAAUGUUUUCCAUUUGUACUUAGGUGGAAAGGGAAACAUAGUGGUCCAACCUCAAACCGUGAUGUGGCCUUCUACCGCAAAGCAUUGGAUUCUCUAAAACCUACUGAUGUAGAUUGGUGUCCUUAUGCAAAUAUCAGCCAUACUGUUAUUCCUGAUAAUAUCUUAAACCAACUCAUUCUUGGAAGAUCUAAGACAAUGUUGAUAUGUUUUGACAAGGCAGAAAGACACCUUCCAGAUCGUUGCCUAAGGCAGUUUGGCAUGCACCAAACAGUCCCAGAAGAAGUGCAAAGAUGGGAAAGGAAGACACGUGGUGUUGAUGGUGGGGUAGAUCUCUCUGGAAAAAUGGAAUCAGAGCUUAGUGAAUGGGCAAAUCGCCGUUUCCAUAUUGUGGAGGCUGAGGAAGACAUGGAUGAGGGUGACUACAUGAACUGGUACCUAAAAAUUACACGCAGGGUGGUUGGAAGGCCUAUACCCAUCUCAUCUGAGUUUCAGAGAAUGAAUGCUGCAUUGAGGGACAUUGCACAUGUAGCAGAUACCCUCUCCACACAUGGAAUGGAUGAUCAGCAAAUACAGUCUGUAACAAGAAUCAGGUACAUUGCACAUGAAUGUUUGAGGGAUCAUACUGGGAGUUCAACACUUGUUGUAGCCGAUUCUCAGGACGAGGUUGGGAAAAGGAUAAGGGGAAAGGAACGGGUUAGAAGAAGGGGUACGAGUAAACGUAGAAGGAAAGAUGACCCGGAGGAAUAUUAUGCAGCUACUAUGCAUACCCAGUCCCGUUUAUAUUCUUCCGUUGUCAAUUCUGAUCAAGCACAAUUUUAUCAUGUGGGAAAUGAGGUUGAUCACCAACACCUUUGCAUUCCAUCUAAUGCUGGUGACUCAUUGUCACCCACUGGGAGAGUUGAUGGUUCAAUGGACCAUGAUGCCCCUGAUGAAGUUGAUGGAUCGGAGUACCAGCAUGGAGUUGAAGAAAUCGAUGAAGACCAGCUUUCUCAUGGAUCAGAAGAAAAUCCAUGUGAACCCAUUCCUACUAUUGAUGUUGUACAGCAAUCAUCUCUAGAAACUAGUGAGGAUGUGGCCCGCCAGAAUGAUUAUAGUGUUACAGCUUAAAGGGUCGACCGAACUUCCAAUUCUAUCUGGUGAAUAUUGUUCCUUUUUCAGAGGGAGUUCUGGAUUCCAUGGCUAAAGGCCCAGCACUUUUCUGGAGUCUCUAAUAUCUUAAUAGGGAUCCCAAGCUCCCUUGGGUUGUAAUUACUAUAGACCAUUUGGAUAAUUCUCUUUCUCCAUUUCUUUUGUAGUUGUCCAUUUUCAGGUUUUGAAGAUUGAAAGAUACUGUGCUCUGUAAUUAAUUAGAUAAUAUUUUUCCAUUUUAAAAAUUAGUAAUGUACAACUUGCUUUUGGAGCAGUUUUGCUCUUUUAGUGAGGUUGAUUGAGCAAUCUUAGAUGAAUGAUUAUUCUGAAA